rnacentral:tRNA from 5 species
UACAUACUAGCUCAUUGGUAGAGCAUUUGUCUCAAGAACAAAGUGUAGCAGGUUCAAUUCCUGUGUAUG